UGCAGUCGAACGAGAAAGGUUCGCAAGAGACGAGUAAGUGGCGGAAGGGCGAGUAAUGCAUGGAUAACCUACCUCCGAGAUGGGAAUAACUACUCGAAAGGGUAGCUAAUACCCAAUAAGACCACGGGUCGCAUGGCCUGUGCUCAAAGAUGGGGACCCGCAAGGGCCUUUCGCUCGGUGAGGGGUUCAUGUCCUAUCAGCUAGUUGGUGAGGUAACGGCCCACCAAGGCGAUGACGGGUAGCCGACUUGAGAGGGUGACCGGCCGCACUGGGACUGAGACACUGCCCAGACUCCUACGGGAGGCUGCAGUCGAGGAUCUUCCGCAAUGCGCGCAAGCGUGACGGAGCGACGCCGCGUGGGUGAUGAAGGCCUUCGGGUUGUAAAGCCCUGUCACCUGGGAAGAAUGGCAGGAGGUGAAUAGCCAUCCUGUCUGACGCUACCAGGAGAGGAAGCACCGGCUAAAUACGUGCCAGCAGCCGCGGUAAUACGUAUGGUGCGAACGUUGUUCGGAAUCACUGGGCAUAAAGAGCACGUAGGCGGUUGAGCAAGUCCAUUGUGAAAUCCCCCGG
rnacentral:rRNA from 1 species